CCGCAAGGGGAGAAAAGUCGUAACAUAGUAGGUGUACCGGAAGGUGCCCCUGGAAAAC
rnacentral:rRNA from 1 species